GGGGGGGGGGGGGGGGGGGCGGAGGGGGGGGGGGGGGGCGGGGGAGGGGGGCUUGGGCCUGGAUUCAGCGGCGGACGGGGGAGUAAUGCCUAGGAAUCUGCCUGGUAGUGGGGGAUAACGUCCGGAAACGGGCGCUAAUACCGCAUACGUCCUGAGGGAGAAAGUGGGGGAUCUUCGGACCUCACGCUAUCAGAUGAGCCUAGGUCGGAUUAGCUAGUUGGUGGGGUAAAGGCCUACCAAGGCGACGAUCCGUAACUGGUCUGAGAGGAUGAUCAGUCACACUGGAACUGAGACACGGUCCAGACUCCUACGGGAGGCAGCAGUGGGGAAUAUUGGACAAUGGGCGAAAGCCUGAUCCAGCCAUGCCGCGUGUGUGAAGAAGGUCUUCGGAUUGUAAAGCACUUUAAGUUGGGAGGAAGGGCAGUAAGUUAAUACCUUGCUGUUUUGACGUUACCAACAGAAUAAGCACCGGCUAACUUCGUG
rnacentral:rRNA from 1 species